rnacentral:rRNA from 1 species
AUUGAACGCUGGCGGCAGGCUUAACACAUGCAAGUCGAGCGGAGAGAGGUAGCUUGCUACUGAUCUUAGCGGCGGACGGGUGAGUAAUACUUAGGAAUCUGGCUAUUAGUGGGGGACAACAUUUCGAAAGGGAUGCUAAUACCGCAUACGUCCUACGGGAGAAAGCAGGGGAUCUUCGGACCUUGCGCUAAUAGAUGAGCCUAAGUCGGAUUAGCUAGUUGGUGGGGUAAAGGCCUACCAAGGCGACGAUCUGUAGCGGGUCUGAGAGGAUGAUCCGCCACACUGGGACUGAGACACGGCCCAGACUCCUACGGGAGGCAGCAGUGGGGAAUAUUGGACAAUGGGGGGAACCCUGAUCCAGCCAUGCCGCGUGUGUGAAGAAGGCCUUAUGGUUGUAAAGCACUUUAA